rnacentral:lncRNA from 1 species
GAUACAGCAUUCCAGGUACAAUAAUAUUCAUCAAAUACAUGUGUAUAAGAUUACAUCAUUGAUGAAUACAAUUUUCUGGCAUAGCCCUAAGGCUAUUUACAUGGCAGCGGAAGUCUUGGUUUGGCAGCGUCUCACUAAGUCGGGGCUCCAUAACGCACAGGACUGGCAAGAUUACGGCCUAGCACAACGGAACUAGCAAACGACCUACAAAACUGACAUGACACGCCAGGUCAGUACAUUGAAUGUACUUGCAAGACAACCAAAUACAUAACAUCCAAACAAACAGAUGACAAGGCAAGAAGCAAGCAUAUGCAACAAUCUACUCCCACACAACUUCUAAGCAUGGCAUGAUAUUAACUAGAAUCAUAAAUCCAACUAGGCAUGAACAACAUCAUAGCAUCUACUAUCAUGGCAUAUCAAACUUACUUCUAACAUAACAACAACAAAGCAUAGCAUAUCAAAACAUGGCAUGCAUGGCAUCAUGAAACUAUGCUGAAAAUAAACUACCAGUUACCUCCCGUGAAGACAUGUUGUAAUAACCUUAUGCCACAAUCACUUACUCUGCCACGGCUCCUCGGAGCACAAUCAUGACUUACCGAGACCUCGGCUCGGGGUCAUAUCAACACAUCAUCGUGACUUCUCACGAUUAUUUCAUAGUCCAAGCCAUCACAUUAGUUAUCACAUCUUAGUUAUCACAUAAUUUAUUAGCUAAUUUAUCCUCCAUUACGACCGAGACCCGAUAGUGUGACCUACUACGAACCUGUGCCCAUGACCGAGGACGCGGCUAUCGAUAGAUUUAAUACACUCUGCAGAGGUAGCGCACUUUACCCACACUAUGGAACCCUGGUCUCGCACUCCCAUACGUGCAGACCAAAGCGUUCCGACAAAACCGAUCUACUGCCAUGACGCUCUCCCGGCCACUCCGACCAACACCCCUUAAGGGUUCAGUCCUGGGUGGCCCCGUACCUACCAAAUGUACCAACGGCCACCGUCGUGGCAAAACGGUCCCAAACGGGGACAUGAGCUCAAAACCAAACCCGGGCACAGAAGGCUUAUGUCCGCCUACCUGAUCAGGGUAAGCGCACCCAUAACCUUCCCUCGCGGGAGGCACUGGCGAGAGGCAUGACAAUAGACCCAGCUAGGACCUUCCCACAAGGUAAAUGUGGUUGCACUGGAGAAAGCUCGAUUUGGUGGCACUAUGAUAUCCCAGUGAUGGCGGAGGAGGUUUGUUAUUAAGUCAUAUUAUUAACUUCUCCACCAUCAUCAACAUUAUGAGCAUAUUAAACAAGAAUGCAACAAUGAACAUGCAGCAAACAAAUGCAUUAACAAAUAUCAAGCUACUCCAGUGAACAGUUAUAGCAUAUGAAACAUAACAAUACUAGAUACUAGCUUAUUGACGGUGCAACAAAAUCAUCAUAACAUCAAGACUACUGGCAUGAACUAAACUAGAUAGAGGCAUGAUAUUAUCAACAACAAUAUAACUAGCAUGGCAAAAGCUAUCAUGAGAGGUAAGCAAGCAGUACUAACAUAUAUCACAACUGAAAUAACGGCAGACGAAACGGACAAAAACUACCACAACUAAGCACACACACGAGGUACCAGCAAAGUCAACAUGCAAGUUCGGGGCUCAUGAUAAGAGGUUGGCUUGCCUGGGGUCGAGGAUUACUCCGGAAAAAGUGUGGAACGAUCGCGGAAAGAUUUGCCGGAAACAGUUCUCUCUCGGAGGGGGCUGUUUACGGGCAAGGGCAAAGUGUUCAUUUUCACUGUGUGAAAACAUAAUGAAAAUGAUACCAACGGAAAGAGUUCUACGAGACGAAGACGUGAGUGUUGGUUUCACCUCAGUCGGAGUCACGGUUGUCGAGAUACGCAUGGUUGAAGUUCAGGGACCUAUCGGUGAAAGUUUUUCAGCAAACAGGCCCCUGGAGGAAAAAUUGGACGCCCCUUUCUCAGCAAUACGUUUUCCGGAGAGGAAAGCAUAUUCUGGCCCGAAGAGGAAGCGAAUACGCUUUCGGUUAAGGGAAACGCACUCCAGGGGAAUACGCCUUCGUGGUUCCGAAAACGGAAAAUGGCCCAAGGCGCCGACACUUAACUGACGUGGCGAGGCGGGUCAACGCGGGGACAUUGCCAGGUGGGGCCCGCCUGGCCUACGUCUUCAACCUCCCGCUCGCACGCGCGCCGGGCAGAGGGAAGGGCUCGCCUCGACGGCGAUAGCCGGCGCGUCCGGCCACCGCUCGCGACGGCCGACCUACCCACGGGUUCAGGAACGAGAGGCGCAUCCCGUGGUGUGGCCAACUGCCGUCGAGGGGCACUAGGGAAGGAGCAGCAGGGCGCGCGGCGGAGGUGGGCUUCGGCCGCCGGCGAACUUGGUGCUCCGGUGGGGGAACAGAGGGGCUGAGGAUACGGGGAGGCUCGCUGGAGUGCGGGGAACGCAUAGGUUGUGGUGGAACGGCGAGGGGGGCACGACAUUGCCGGGAUCGAGCGAAGCCCGAAACGGCGGCCAUGGCAAUGGUGGGGAUCGGAGAGCGACUCCGGGGACGAGUGAAGGGCUUGGGGAGGCUUGAGGACUGCGAGGGAGCUCGGGACGGGCUUAAAUAGCCGCGGGGAUGAGCUCUAGGGGAGGGGAGGAGGUGACACGCGGCACGGCUACGUGUCCGCGCGCCGGCGACGUGCAUGCGCGGCCAAAGGCCACGGGAAGCGACGGGAACACGACGAGGGGGAUGCGGACGACACGCAGAGGCUCACGGAGACGAGGAGCGCUUGCGGACGAGAGGGAGAAGGGGACAAGAGCGAGGAAGACGAUGGUGCACGGGCGUGCACUGUGCUCGGCGACGGCGAUGGCUCGACGAGGAAGAAAACGAAGGGGGAAACGGGCCAAGGCGCACGAUGACGAUGAGGCUGAGUUGGUUGACAAGCUUGGACGAGCCAGAGCCAGCCGGAGAUGCGCUACUGUGGCCAACAGUGGCUAGACCACCGAUUUGGCUGGCACUGCCCAUGGUCACCACUGACAACGCAUGCUCUGGUCGUCUAGUUGGUGCCAAAUUUUGUCUACAGCGUAGUCCUUCCAAAGCUCAUUAAGUAUGAGGUGAUGUCACGAGCAAAGGUGUAGUGAUAAGAGGGAAACAGGCUCGACAAGUUUGCUGUUGCAAACUUGGCAACAUCCUGGUGAUCAACACAGAGAGGUUGAGGGCAAAAAUGGUUGUCUAGGAGGUUUAGGAUAGCAAGGACUACGGUCCUGGGAAAUUGGAAGGGAUUUGGGCAAGGAUUUAGCAUAGCUGCAGUUCAAAUGCCAAUUCUGGCCCAGAAGCUAAAUGACGAAGGAACACUCACUAGGAUUGUUGGAUUAGGUUGAAACUUGGCAAAACUUCCUUAUUUGGUCAUAUGUAGAUGCUGAAAAAAGAUCAUACCAAAUGGACUUGCCAAAUUGGUACUUGUUUCACAAGCAUCAGAUCUGACCAGAAACUUUGGAAAACUCCAAGAAAAUAUUGGCUACAUGAAAUGAGCCAAAAUUUGUUGGAGAUAGGUUAUAUGGAGAGGAGAAGGCUUAGGAAUAUUUUCAGCCAUAAUGGAGCAAGAUAAAAUAGACUUGCUUCACAAACUGAAAAUUUGGAUAGAAACCAAGAAUUGCUCCUGUGCUCACAUAGUUCAAUGAAUUGAACUGAAUUUAGGUGGAGGCUAAUGAUUUGGAAUACUUGAAAGGAUGGAAAAGUUUCAUCCCAUUUGGAAUCUCUAUGAAGGUACUUCCUUCACAAAGUUACAAUCUGGUCAGAAACUUUGAAAAAUUGCACAGGGAGCUAGGGUGAAUAGAUUGAGCUCAUCUUUGGUAUUAAUGGGUGAUUUAUCAAGGUUAAUCACCCUGCCAAUUUGCAGCUCAAUAGGAAUUAGGAAUAAGGCACUUCCUUUGCAAAAUUUCAGAGAAGGCAGAAACUUGCAUUGGAUCAUGUGCCAAAUUUUUGAACUGAGGAACAUGAGAUAAGAAUGGAACUAGUGAUUAUAUAUCAAGGACAAGCUCCACAAUUUAUGGGAGAAUUUUCCCUGCUAUAAAAAUAGUAGUUCCUUUAGGAAGUGGCAGAAAUGCAAUAUUGGUAUUAAAUAGGAAAAGGCAUUUUCCAUAUUUAAUUAUGUCCAAUAUCUUUGCCAGAGCUUGGAUUAGACAUAAAUAUAAACUCCACCAAUCCUCAUGAAUUUUGGAGAUGGCUAGACAUGCCUUUGGAUUUUAUCCCGCAGAAAGGCAAGAAAAGGAAUAAAUCAUAAGUCAAAAAUAUUGCAUUGGACUUGGCAAUAUUUUUGCAUAUCCAAGGUUUAGGAGGAUAAGAGGGUCUCUAGGAACAGAUGGGAUGAUCAACAGAUCAAGGAAAAUGAUGGCUCCUUUGUAAUCACAAAGGCCAUCUUUAAAUUCCAACAAUUUGGAAUUAGGGUUUGAUAGGGUUUGAGCUGAGGCAAAUGAGGUCUUGCCCACUGAAAAAUACAUGAGCAAGGUUUUGAAAGGAUGGAAAUGCCAAAAUUUCUCAGAGUCAUCCAGCAAACUCCGGAGAAUUUUUUGAAAAUGAGUGCCAGGAAGGAAUAACAGUUCAAAAAUUGUCAACCCAAUUUUGGGGCUGUUACAAACCUUCCCCCCUUAAAAAGAAUCUCGUCCUCGAGAUUCCUAGGGUUACAGCACAAUUGCAAAGAUGACUACUCCGGGGAAAAACCUCGGGGUUAAUUUUAACCCUUUGGUCAAAUGCGAACGAGUUGGGGGCACCAAUAAUCGGUACACCUAGGGAGAGAUAUGGGCAAACACGGUUAUAUCCACGGCUAGGGGCACUCGAGAUCAGACUCCCGAAAAAUGGUGGAUGCACCAUAAUGAACAGUGGUUUCUCCUGCUGACACGUGGGUCCAGGGCCCACUGGCAGCCUCCUUCUUCUACCUCUGGCUGGCUGCUUCUCCGAUGCUGCUGCUCCCCGUGUGGCUUGGCGCAGCGCGCAUCUAGCUCCUAGGGCGAUGAGGACCCUAGAGCCAUAGUGCGCGGCGCCGGUGCAGCGAGCACUCACGUCGCGGGCCAGCACCUUGUCCGCACUGCUCGCGGAUUUGCCUCCUGGACGCCGGUGAUCGAGCGAUGAGCGGUUUUCCUGGACCUCGCUCAUCGUACACCGGAGUUGGGCUAUAAAACAGCAGCGCGGCUCUCCUCCAACGCACAAACACAAUGCCGCUCUACUACCUAUUCGGUUUGGACGAGAUCGAGCCGAGCUCCUUCGGCGAGGCUGUGUUCCUGGUGGCGCUGCGGUGGUUCCUCGCUGCGCUGCUGGGCACGGUCAUUGGCUCGUCGAUCAUACUGCUGACGAUCAUCAGGUACGAGCGAGCUCGAGGCAACGCGCGGCCAGCUGCGGUGGCUCGAGGUGUGGAAGAAGAUGGUGCACGAGGUGGUCCUCCGCCACGCUUGAUUCUCCGGCGCUUCGCGCCGGCGGAGUAAUCACGUGCUGCGGGGGAGCGGUGGUGGCGAUCUGCCUGCACCACGCAAGGCAGAGGCAAGGGUGGGUUCGGAUGCGGGUGAGGUGGCUGCGCCAGCUCAGGAAUCAUGCCGGGGUACGGAUAAAUUCACGGAUUGCUCCACGAAAUGUAGGUGUCGGGGUAGAAUCAGAGUUGAAAUCUGUAUCGGGGGUUGUACUAGAUCGAGUGAAAUAAAGCUGGCAACGUUUUCUCCGGAAACGCAAUUGGGUUAACAAAAAAGAAUUAGGGACGAGAAAUGACUAGAUGAAAAUGCCUCUUCGAGGCGCUGGGUUUGGAAAAUCUGGCACACGGGGUAUGCACAGAUAGAGAUAGGGAUGUGACUUUGCGUUUCCCCGAGUACUGCCCUAAAUGUACUCAUGGGUGAACCGGGUAUGUGUGCAGUAUGCAAUGCAGUCUAAACUAACAACACACAGGUGCAAUAAACAUGCAAUGAAAAACACAUCAGACAAAUAAUACUAAGGUGUUUUAAUGCUAGUGGGUAUAUGUACUCUUGGCAUACAUAUACCUACACCAGCGCGCAUUUUAUUAAAGACUCGGGACGAGCCAAUGUUAUUUAGUGUAUGUUAUCUACUGAUUAAAAUCUUGUUAGCACACAUUGCCAACCCCGUCAAACAUCUCUGUUUGACGGAGAGACAAACAAAAACAAGCACAAAAAUCAAAAGCAAGCAAGCAUAUGUAAACACAUUACGGGUUACAAACAGUGCAACCAUACAACAAAGCACGAACGCUCUACGCGCUAAACGAAACUACUCACUUUGGGAUACAUGGUUCUAUCCUCAUAUCGGGAUGAACAGACGAACUGACCUACUCGCAGAAUCAUCUCACUGCGUGACUGAGGUCAUGCAGAGGACUGGCCUUGCUGGGGCUCUCCGGGAGGACGAAGACUGAGCCAAUCUCCAUCUUCAUCGUCCGACGCUACUAUGGGUUGGGGUUCGACUACUGGAGGUGUGGCUAAAAUUGAUCCAAGCAGAUGCUGCUGGUGGAUCCGGAAAAGAGACUUGUCGAGGGUGAUGAUGUUUGGCUUAGGCCACAACACCGGCUGAGAGGGUAGCACUGGUUCGGAUGGCAUGGGGUGAACGGCUUGAGAUGCGAAUUUACGAGCCUCAUGGUAAGGUUCCUUGACAACUCGUACCACAUUGUUGUCCAGGGUUCUAAGUUCGGCGAGCAUCUUAGAAAUCAUCAUCCCCUGGGCAGUGAUAUAUUGCACCAGGCGAGCGAUUGCGGGGUCAUCUCCUUGGAUAGUGGGAGAAGACUGAAUUCCUGCUUCUGUCACAAUGGGGAAAAAGCAGAACUCCCGCCUCUCUGCCACUUGCGGGAUCUUGGUUCGGAGGUAUAGGAUAGCUUCCACAGCAGCGGCCUGAAUGGCUAAAUCAGAGGUAGGCAUGGCUCUACCCUGAAAAACCAAAGGCUGGCCAUCUAUUGCGGGACCUAGGCUGAUGCGCACUCUUGCAUCGUAGCGGUGAAGGUGAGGGACGGGUGUCGAUUGGAACACCAGGUAAUCGGGGCUAGCAUUACAGCCAAAGGCUUUGGUGAGCAUCUCGGCAAGAAGGGGUGGAAAGCCAGUGUGGUUGACGGCACAGGUGCGGGUGUAAAACUUGGAGGCUUUGAAGGUGCUAGUCAUGGCUGGGGAGCUACUAGCUAAGCUUUUCUGCAGGGACAUGGCUGACUGAGGGGUGAGCGAUACGACUAGCAGAAAGGGGGUUUUAUAGGCAGCUAUGCGGGACAUGCCUGCAUGGUGUGGCCACUUUCCCUUAAUGGCGAAGGGAAAGCGGUGCGGCCGAUCGGAAAAGAUAGGGUUGCUAUUCAAUCCACGGAUAACCAGGCGGGGACAGCGGGGUGAGGAUGUGUCGGUCCCGACUGCGCCACCUGUUGGUUAACAGUGGCCAUGCCGGAUGCCAGGGAUGGGUCAAAUCCCUUAGGGCCAUUAGGGUUUGAUGGUAGCGGUGAUCUAAUGCUAGGAUAACCUAUGCCAGCCUGGCUGCUCUGAUACCAUCUCCUGUGGCACCCCGAUCCGCAUGGAGCAGGGGGCCUUCGCACGUCAGCCCAGGAUUACGCCUGACGCACGACAGGUCCAUGAUACAACAUUCCAGGUACAAUAAUAUUCAUCAAAUACAUGUGUAUAAGAUUACAUCAUUGAUGAAUACAAUUUUCUGGCAUAGCCCUAAGGCUAUUUACAUGGCAGCGGAAGUCCAUAUAAAUGGCGGCGGAAGUCUUGGUUUGGCAGUGUCUCACUAAGGCGGGGCUCCAUAACGCACAGGACUGGCAAGAUUACGGCCUAGCAUGACGGAACAAGCAAAUGACCUACAAAACUGGCAUGACACGCCAGGUCAGUACAUUGAAUGUACUUGCAAGACAACCAAAUACAUAGCAUCCAAACAAACAGAUGACAAGGCAAGAACCAAGCAUAUGCAACAAUCUACUCCCACACAACUUCUAAGCAUGCCAUGAUAUUAACUAGAAUCAUAAAUCCAACUAGGCAUGAACAACAUCAUAGCAUCUACUAUCAUGGCAUAUCAAAAUUACUUCUAACAUAACAACAACAAAGCAUAGCAUAUCAAAACAUGUCAUGCAUGGCAUCAUGAAACUAUGCUGAAAACAAACUACCAGUUACCUCCCGUGAAGACAUGUUGUAAUAACCUUAUGCCACAAUCACUUACUCUGCCACGGCUCCUCGGAGCACAAUCAUGACUUACGGAGACCUCGGCUCGGGGUCAUAUCAACACAUCAUCGUGACUUCUCACGAUUAUUUCAUAGUCCAAGCCAUCACAUUAGUUAUCACAUCUUAGUUACACAUAAUUUAUUAGCUGAUUUAUCCUCCAUUACGACCGAGACCCGAUAGUGUGACCUACUACGAACCUGUGCCCAUGACCGAGGACGCGGCUAUCGGUAGAUUUAAUACACUCUGCAGAGGUAGCGCACUUUACCCACACUACGGAACCCUGGUCUCGCACUCCCAUACGUGCAGACCAAAGCGUUCCGACAAAACCAAUCUACUGCCAUGACGCUCUCCCGGCCACUCCGACCAACACCCCUUAAGGGUUCAGUCCUGGGUGGCCCCGUACCUACCAAAGGUACCAACGGCCACCGUCGUGGCAAAACAGUCCCAAACGGGGACAUGAGCUCAAAACCAAACCCGGGCACACAAGGCUUAUGUCCGCCUACCUGAUCAGGGUAAGCGCGCCCAUAACCUUCCCUCGCGGGAGGCACCGGCGAGAGGCAUGACAAUAGACCCAGCUAGGACCUUCCCACAAGGUACAUGUGGUUGCACUGGAGAAAGCUCAAUUUGGUGGCACUAUGAUAUCCCAGUGAUGGCGGAGGAGGUUUGUUAUUAAGUCAUAUUAUUAACUUCUCCACCAUCAUCAACAUUAUGAGCAUAUUAAACAAGAAUGCAACAAUGAACAUGCAGC